AUUGAACGCUGGCGGCAUGCCUAACACAUGCAAGUCGAGCGGCAGCGCGUCCGACCACCCUCGGGUGGUCGGAUGGCGGCGAGCGGCGGACGGGUGAGGAAUGCAUCGGAAUCUGCCUCGUUGUGGGGGAUAACGUAGGGAAACUUACGCUAAUACCGCAUACGACCUACGGGUGAAAGUGGGGGACCUUCGGGCCUCACGCGAUGAGAUGAGCCGAUGCCGGAUUAGCUAGUUGGCGGGGUAAAGGCCCACCAAGGCGACGAUCCGUAGCUGGUCUGAGAGGAUGAUCAGCCACACUGGAACUGAGACACGGUCCAGACUCCUACGGGAGGCAGCAGUAGGGAAUAUUGGACAAUGGGGGCAACCCUGAUCCAGCCAUGCCGCGUGAGUGAAGAAGGCCCUCGGGUUGUAAAGCUCUUUUGUCCGGAAAGAAAAGCAUCUGGUUAAUACCCGGGUGUUCUGACGGUACCGGAAGAAUAAGCACCGGCUAACUUCGUGCC
rnacentral:rRNA from 1 species